rnacentral:rRNA from 1 species
CCUACGGGAGGCAGCAGUGAGGAAUAUUGGGCAAUGGACGCAAGUCUGAACCAGCCAUGCCGCGUGCAGGAAGACGGCUCUAUGAGUUGUAAACUGCUUUUGUACGAGGGUAAACGCAGAUACGCGUAUCUGUCUGAAAGUAUCGUACGAAUAAGGAUAGACUAACUUCGUGCCAGCAGCCGCGGUAAUACGGAGGAUUCAAGCGUUAUCCGGAUUUAUUGGGUUUAAAGGGUGCGUAGGCGGUCGGAUAAGUUAGAGGUGAAAUCCCGAGGCUCAACUUCGGAAUUGCCUCUGAUACUGUACGGCUAGAGAGUAGUUGCGGUAGGCGGAAUGUAUGGUGUAGCGGUGAAAUGCUUAGAGAUCAUACAGAACACCAAUUGCGAAGGCAGCUUACCAAGCUACUUCUGACGUUGAGGCACGAAAGCGUGGGGAGCAAACAGGAUUAGAUACCCUAGUAGUC